ACGGGAGGCAGCAGUGAGGAAUAUUGGUCAAUGGACGCAAGUCUGAACCAGCCAUGCCGCGUGCAGGAAGACGGCUCUAUGAGUUGUAAACUGCUUUUGUACGAGAGUAAACGCUCUUACGUGUAAGAGCCUGAAAGUAUCGUACGAAUAAGGAUCGGCUAACUCCGUGCCAGCAGCCGCGGUAAUACGGAGGAUCCAAGCGUUAUCCGGAUUUAUUGGGUUUAAAGGGUGCGUAGGCGGUUUGAUAAGUUAGAGGUGAAAUACCGGUGCUUAACACCGGAACUGCCUCUAAUACUGUUGAACUAGAGAGUAGUUGCGGUAGGCGGAAUGUAUGGUGUAGCGGUGAGAUGCUUAGAGAUCAUACAGAACACCGAUUGCGAAGGCAGCUUACCAAACUAUAUCUGACGUUGAGGCACGAAAGCGUGGGGAGCAAACAGGAUUAGAUACCCUGGUAGUCCACGCAGUAAACGAUGAUAACUCGCUGUCGGCGAUACACGGUCGGCG
rnacentral:rRNA from 1 species